GACGAACGCUGGCGGCGUGCUUAACACAUGCAAGUCAAACGGAAAGGCCCUGCUUGCAGGGUACUCGAGUGGCGAACGGGUGAGUAACACGUGGGUGAUCUGCCCUGCACUUCGGGAUAAGCCUGGGAAACUGGGUCUAAUACCGGAUAGGAGCCAUUUUUAGUGUGAUGGUUGGAAAGUUUUUUCGGUGUAGGAUGAGCUCGCGGCCUAUCAGCUUGUUGGUGGGGUAAUGGCCUACCAAGGCGGCGACGGGUAGCCGGCCUGAGAGGGUGGACGGCCACAUUGGGACUGAGAUACGGCCCAGACUCCUACGGGAGGCAGCAGUGGGGAAUAUUGCACAAUGGGCGCAAGCCUGAUGCAGCGACGCCGCGUGGGGGAUGACGGCCUUCGGGUUGUAAACUCCUUUCGCUAGGGACGAAGCUUUUUGUGACGGUACCUAGAUAAGAAGCACCGGCUAACUACGUG
rnacentral:rRNA from 1 species